AAACCUUGCAAAGCUCUCCAUUUCACCCAGAGUAAAAGCUGAAAUCCUUACUGUGAUCAAUAAGCCCUGUAUGAUCUUUAAGCUCCCUCCCUUCUCUCCCCUGGGCUUAUUCUGUUCUAUCCACCCAAGAUUCCUUUGCUGUUGCUUGAACACUCCAGACAUACUGCUGCCUCAGGGCCUUUGAAAAUACAUCACAUGACUAACUUUGGCAUCUCCUUCAGUCUUCAGUCACAUAUGCCUUUACAGUGCGAUGGCACUGUAGAAGUGUAGGUGAUAUCACAACUUCCUCAAUUCUUUGACUUGUCACAAUGAGCAUAAAUUACUUUUGUAAUUUUAUAGGACACUCAUGGAGGGAAAUCUAUACACAGAAACACACACACACAGGGAGAAAGCCAUGUGAAGACAGGCAGAGACUGGGGUAAUGCAGCUACAAGGGAAUGUCAGAGAUUGCUAGCAAACACCAGAAGCUGGAAGAGGCAAUUAAGGAUUGCUCCCUAGAGCUUUUAGAGGGAGGACGGCUCUGCCACCUGCCUUGUUCUUGGACUCCUAGCCUCCAGAAUUAGGUCACCUGUUGGGCAAUAUCACCAUAGACUGAAUACAGAAGCAGAUAUUAGCCUCCAGCCUCCUGCUCAUCUGGACACUAGAGAGAUUUCUAAAAAGAUAUAAGGAACAUUUAUGAAUGACCAGAAGGAAGUAUUAAUCAAACGAAAUGUUUCCAAUCCUAUAACAGGACACCUUGAUUUAAUCCCAGGAAUGGGAUUUUGCAUAAAAGAAGAAAGCUCAGGAAUGAUAAAUUUACACACCAUGGAUCUAGAAGGGAGUCUAUAACCCCAGAAUCACCAUUAUUUUGGGUGAUCCAUAUGGCUAUCAAUUAAAGUGCUACCUGAGUGCUGUUCAACUUCUUGAGAUGGAUGAAAAAGGAAUGAAAGGAGACAUAGCAAUCUUCAACUCCGCUCCUUUACUUUUGAAUAAGAGGUGAUGGAAGGCAAGGUCAGAGAGAUCUGGGUUCAAAUCUCAUGAUUUAACUGCUAUAUAACCUUGGCCAAAUUAUUUAAACUUUGUGUCUGUUUUUACUUAGCAAUAUAAAGACACUGGUCAUACCCACCACUCAGAAUUUCAAUCAGAACUAAAUGAAAUAAUAUAUGCAAAGUGCUUAAUAUAGUACACCUGGCAUGGAGUGGUAACUCAAUAAAUAGAUCUUUUGUUAUAA
rnacentral:lncRNA from 1 species